rnacentral:rRNA from 2 species
AGUACACGAGCAACGGAAGUUAAAAAAUCGGGCAAGAUUGAACGCAAAGGCAAGCGGGACAUUUGAGGAUGGGGUGACUGCGUACCUUUUGUAUAAUGGGUCAGCGACUUAUAUUCUGUAGCAAGGUUAACCGUAUAGGGGAGCCGUAGGGAAACCGAGUCUUAACUGGGCGAAUGAGUUGCAGGGUAUAGACCCGAAACCCGGUGAUCUAUCCAUGGGCAGGUUGAAGGUUGGGUAACACUAACUGGAGGACCGAACCGACUAAUGUUGAAAAAUUAGCGGAUGACUUGUGGAUGGGGGUGAAAGGCCAAUCAAACCGGGAGAUAGCUGGUUCUCCCCGAAAGCUAUUUAGGUAGCGCCUCGUGAACUCAUCUUCGGGGGUAGAGCACUGUUUCGACUAGGGGGUCAUCCCGACUUACCAACUCGAUGCAAACUGCGAAUACCGAAGAAUGUUAUCACGGGAGACACACGGCGGGUGCUAACGUCCGUCGUGAAGAGGGAAACAACCCAGACCGCCAGCUAAGGUCCCAAAGUCAUGGUUAAGUGGGAAACGAAGUGGGAAGGCUCAGACAGCCAGGAUGUUGGCUUAGAAGCAGCCAUCAUUUAAAGAAAGCGUAAUAGCUCACUGGUCGAGUCGGCCCGCGCGGAAGAUGUAACGGGGCUAAACCAUGCACCGAAGCUGCGGCAGCGACACAAAGUGUUGUUGGGUAGGGGAGCGUUCUGUAAGCCUGCGAAGGUAUACUGUGAGGUAUGCUGGAGGUAUCAGAAGUGCGAAUGCUGACAUAAGUAACGAUAAUGCGGGUGAAAAACCCGCACGCCGGAAGACCAAGGGUUCCUGUCCAACGUUAAUCGGGGCAGGGUGAGUCGACCCCUAAGGCGAGGCUGAAAAGCGUAGUCGAUGGGAAACGGGUUAAUAUUCCCGUACUGGUGGUAACUGCGAUGGGGGAACGGAGAAGGCUAGGUUGUCCGGGCGACGGUCGUCCCGGUUCAAGCAGGUAGGCAGAGUGAUUAGGCAAAUCCGGUCACUUAAUGCUGAGAUGUGAUGACGAACCACCAAGGUGGUGAAGCAAUUGAUGCCCCGCUUCCAGGAAAAGCCUCUAAGCUUCAGGUUACCAACAAUCGUACCCCAAACCGACACAGGUGGUCAGGUAGAGAAUACUCAGGCGCUUGAGAGAACUCGGGUGAAGGAACUAGGCAAAAUGGUGCCGUAACUUCGGGAGAAGGCACGCUGGCGGUAGGUAAAGUCCCUUGCGGACGGCGCUGAAGCCAGUCGAAGAUACCAGCUGGCUGCAACUGUUUAUUAAAAACACAGCACUGUGCAAACACGAAAGUGGACGUAUACGGUGUGACGCCUGCCCGGUGCUGGAAGGUUAAUUGAUGGGGUCAGCCGUAAGGCGAAGCUCCUGAUCGAAGCCCCAGUAAACGGCGGCCGUAACUAUAACGGUCCUAAGGUAGCGAAAUUCCUUGUCGGGUAAGUUCCGACCUGCACGAAUGGCGUAAUGAUGGCCAGGCUGUCUCCACCCGAGACUCAGUGAAAUUGAACUCGCUGUGAAGAUGCAGUGUACCCGCGGCAAGACGGAAAGACCCCGUGAACCUUUACUAUAGCUUGACACUGAACAUUGAGCCUUGAUGUGUAGGAUAGGUGGGAGGCUUUGAAGUGUGGACGCCAGUCUGCAUGGAGCCAACCUUGAAAUACCACCCUUUAACGUUUGAUGUUCUAACCUAGGCCCAUAAACUGGGUCGGGGACCGUGUCUGGUGGGUAGUUUGACUGGGGCGGUCUCCUCCUAAAGAGUAACGGAGGAGCACGAAGGUUGGCUAAGCAUGGUCGGACAUCAUGCGGUUAGUGCAAAGGCAUAAGCCAGCUUGACUGCGAGAGUGACGGCUCGAGCAGGUACGAAAGUAGGUCUUAGUGAUCCGGUGGUUCUGAAUGGAAGGGCCAUCGCUCAACGGAUAAAAGGUACUCCGGGGAUAACAGGCUGAUACCGCCCAAGAGUUCAUAUCGACGGCGGUGUUUGGCACCUCGAUGUCGGCUCAUCACAUCCUGGGGCUGAAGUAGGUCCCAAGGGUAUGGCUGUUCGCCAUUUAAAGUGGUACGCGAGCUGGGUUUAGAACGUCGUGAGACAGUUCGGUCCCUAUCUGCCGUGGGCGUUGGAAGAUUGAGAGGGGUUGCUCCUAGUACGAGAGGACCGGAGUGAACGCACCACUGGUGUUCGGGUUGUCAUGCCAAUGGCAUUGCCCGGUAGCUAAGUGCGGAAGAGAUAACCGCUGAAAGCAUCUAAGCGGGAAACUUGCCUCGAGAUGAGUCUUCCCUGUCACUUUAAGUGACCUAAAGGAACGUUUAAGACUAAGACGUUGAUAGGCUGGGUGUGUAAGCGUAGCGAUACGUUGAGCUAACCAGUACUAAUGAACCGUGAGGCUUAACCU